rnacentral:rRNA from 1 species
UACGAAGGGUGCUAGCGUUGUUCGGAUUUACUGGGCGUAAAGGGCGCGUAGGCGGAUUUUUAAGUCAGGGGUGAAAUCCCAAGGCUCAACCUUGGAACUGCCUUUGAUACUGGGGAUCUUGAGUCCGGGAGAGGUGAGUGGAACUGCGAGUGUAGAGGUGAAAUUCGUAGAUAUUCGCAAGAACACCAGUGGCGAAGGCGGCUCACUGGCCCGGAACUGACGCUGAGGCGCGAAAGCGUGGGGAGCAAACAGG